UGGGCACCGUCGCAGGCCGCGGCGUACGCACGCACGGGGAUUGCGCAGACCUCCUCGUCCGCGUUCUAUGGAACUCAUUUCGAGCCAACAGGUUUUUAGGCCUGAAUAGCCGGUAGGAUGUAAGAGCAGCCCCACUUCCGGGGAAUAGCCGGUAGGAUGUGAGAGCAGCCCCAUUUCCGGUAGCGCCGGAAGCAGCUGGAACAUGGCGGCCUCCUGCUGCCACGGGCUGGCGCCGGCGAACCGAGAACUGAGUUUCGUCCGCAGCAGCCGAAGCCGGAGAAGCGAGAUGAAUCAGAACUCCUCACUGUACCUGAUGGUUGGAAGGAACCUGCGUUUUCUAAAAAGGACAAUCCCAGAGGCCUCUUGGAGGAGAGCAGUUUUGCAACUUUGUUCCCAAAAUCUAGAGAGGCUUACUUGAAAGAGUGCUGGCCUUUGGUACAGAAGAGCCUUGAAUGAACAUCACAUUAAUGCAAUCCUGGACCUGAUCGAGGGCAAUAUGUACGACAAAGAAGACUUUUGAUCCAUGUAUCAUCAUUAGGGCCAGAGACCUAAUUAAAACUUUUAGCAAGAAGUGUAUCAUUUGAACAGACCUUAAUGAUUAAACAAGAGUUGGCAAAAGAUUCUGAAUUAAGAUCACAAAGUUGGGAAGGAUUCUUGCCACAGUUCAAGCACAAAAUGUGAAUAAACGGAAGGAACCAAAGAAAAAAACUUAAGAAAAAAUACACACCAUUCUCACCACCACAGCCAGAAAGUCAGGUCAGUAUUAAGUGUUGAAUUUCUUUACAUGAGGGGGAUACUAUUUUAACCUAUUUCGUUAGAAAGUUUAUGGAGAGUUAUUUAGGUAGACUGUGUGUGUGUGUGUGUGUGUGUGUGUACACGUAGGGGGCAGGGUAUAAGAAACCAAAGGUAAGUGUAAAUCGGCUAAGUAUGUGAAUGUGGGAAGUAGGGGCUGCACAGUAAGAAUGUAAACUAUAUCUAGGUAGUUGCUGUCCGUUGUGCCCCUGUGGCCACAAUAAAGAUUCCAUGGAUUAACACACACACACACACACACACACACACACACACACACAGAAUUUAACCCUUAAUGCUCUCACUCUGCUUUAGCAUCAGUCCUAUGACCAUGUGCUAUAAUAACUGCUCCAGUUUUUUGGGGGGUUUUGGGUUUUCUCUUUUUAAAGAUUUUAUUUAUUCAUGAGACAGAGAAAAAGAGAGGCAGAGACGCAGGCAGAGGGAGAAGCAGGCUCCAUGCAGGGAGCCCGACGCGGGACUCGAUCCCAGGUCUCCAGGAUCAGGCCCCCUGCUGCAGGCGGCACUAAACCGCUGAGCCACCCGGACUGUCCAGACUGCUCCAGUUUUGAAAUCCUAAAUUCUAACAUCUGUACCCUUUUGUUAAAAUAGAAGUUAUGAAUGCCUCUCAUUUUCUUACUUGUUUUCUGGCUUCACUUUUUGCCCCAAAUUUCCUUUUCUCUCUUGCUUGUCACUUUUCUUUUAUGCUGCUUUUUCCUUCUAUCACAUCUGUCCAGCAAAACUCUCAAACUUGGUCAGUCCUAAAAUUUGACUUCUUUCCCAAAAUGUGGCUGCUAAACAUAGCUGGAGAAAGUCUUAUUUUUGGACUAUAUCCACUAUAAUUUUGCGUUUCCAGGCUCAGAUCCUCACUGUUGUCUGGUAGUUCUCUGUCCUCUUAAUUCUUGAAGCACCUUCUCACCUCUAGCAGAUGACAUUACAUUUUAUUUUAUGGCAAUAUUUAAGACCCUCAAGUGAGAACUCUUUCAACUUCCCUUUUCUCUCACCUAUGAUUUCUUUUCCAUCUGCACCAAACCUUUCUUCACCUGUUCUUUGAAUCUGUCUUCGUCUGUCUCCUGAAGGAUCUUACUUCAUGAUUCCCUACCUUGGCUGUAUCUUAAAGUCUUUCCUUUCUACUAGAUCAUGGUGAUAAAACAACAGAAAUGUUGGAUCAAGAGGUCUAUUCUGGAAAGGGAAGCAAAGAAAGGAACUGUUAGUUGGGGGAAGGUACAGUGAUCUUACUACUCAACUGUGCUUCCAUAACACUUGCCAUACUUCUUAUGGGCCUGUCCUGUGGUUAGUAAUUGUCUUAUCUUUCUCUUCUAUGACUAAGCUUCUAAAAACAGUAAUGUCCCAGUUGACUUCUUCUGCCACUUACUUGCUUCAUGACUGGCAAUUUAUUUAACCUACCCAUGCCUCAAUUUCCCUGUACAUAAAAUGAGGAUAAUAAAAAUACCUAUUUCAAAGGAUUGUUAAUAAGAAUUAAAUGAUUAGUAAUUGUGUAAAGAGGUUAGUAAUUAUUUUUUUUUAAUUUUUUUUAAUUUUUAUUUAUUUAUGAUAGUUAGAGAGAGAGAGAUGCAGAGACAUAGGCAGAGGGAGAAGCAGGCUCCAUGCACCGGGAGCCCGAUGUGGGAUUCGAUCCCGGGUCUCCAGGAUCGCGCCCCGGGCCAAAGGCAGGCACCAAACCGCUGCGCCACCCAGGGAUCCCAGAAGUUAGUAAUUAUUAAGAGUUUAAAAUGUUGCCUUAGAUUUAAUCUGUGUAAAUUUGAGAUAAAUCAAUUAUAUAUUGAAUGAAUAAGCUGUGCUUUCUCUAAUUAGUAUUGAAUUAGUCCCCAAAUCCUAACAAUUCUAGCUCUUCAUUUUGCAUGCCAUUACUUUAUUCCAAGUGUUUUUAUCUUCUUUCUUCUGUACCUUUUUUUUUUUUUUUUAAGAUUUUAUUUGUUCAUGAGAGAGACAGAGAAAGAGACACAGGCAGAGGGAGAAGCAGGCCCCAUGCAGGGAACCCGAUGUGGGACUCAAUCCCGGGACUCCAGGAUCAUGCCCUGGGCCAAAGGCAGGCGCUAAACUGCUGAGCCACGCAGGGAUCCCCAUCUUCUGUACCUUCUAUAUGCUGCUUUGGUCUCUAUUUCUCUCAGAAGCCUGCAGUCAUUUCUAAAUCAUAGCCCACCCUCUCCACCUGGCAUUCAUGUUUCUUCAAGCAUACCUCAUAUUAUCUUUCCAGUUUCCUCACAUCUUCCUGAAUCAUUGAUGUUCUAUCCCAUCUAAAACAGCCUGCUGUAUAUUUCAUGAACACAUCACCUCUUUCCUACCUCUGUGCUUUUUGUGUGUAUUCCCUUCAGCUUAGAGAGCACAUCUUUUUUUAUGUCACUGCCUUUAUAAACUAAUCAUAGAUUUUUGACCUUACUAUUUCUAUCCCAAGGGCAUUAUGCCUUUCUUAGGAAAUGACUUCCCAUCUACCUUAUUUCUGAUAUAAUUGUAAAUACUGAUUUCAACAGAUUGAUAAAGAAUUGGCUAGUGGUGAAUAUUUUCUGAAGGCAAGUCAAAAAAGAAGUGUCAGAAAAUGGAAGCCGCAAAGGUAAGACUCUUAUCUAGUUCACAACAUUGAUAGUAUAGACUUAACGAUAAAUCGUUCUUAUAAUAAUGCAGGCUAAACAAGCAGAAGCUCUCAGUAAGAGACAAGAGGAAAGAAACAAAGCUUUUAUUCCACCUAAAGAGAAACCAGUGGUGAAACCAAAGGAAGCUUCUACUGAAAAUAAAAUUGAUGUGGCUGCCAUCAAGGAAAAGGUUAAGAAAGCAAAGAAUAAGAAACUGGGAGCUCUUUCAGGUGAAGAAGUUAAGCUUAAAAUGGAAGCAGAUGAAAAAAGAAAGAAGAAAAAGUAGCAUUAAAAAAAGUCCCUAAAUGAGAACUCAUGAAGCUAUAUCCUUUUGUAAAGUAUUUUGAAAUACUGGGGCGUCAACAGCCUAUGUGAUAAGGAAUACUCUGAUUACAUUUUCUGAGUUUGUGUCAUUCUUCAAAAUAGUGUUUAUAUAAACAACUGUUCUUUAUAAAUAAGAAUUAUUGUAUUCCCUGUGUGUUUUUUGAAAAAUGUAAUGCUAAGUGGUGUAUACAUCUUUGUAUACAUUGCACCUUAUCUGUUUUGGCAUGUUUUGCCUUAGCAUGAUUUUAGGUGUAAUUUUUAGGUAGUUUAUGUAAAGAUGUGUGGAAUGUGGUUAUUGUAAUUGUCCAUCAGUUCCAGUGUUUGAUGCCACUGGUUAGUCUUUAAAUAAAAUCAUGUCCCAUCAUUUGGAUUUCAGCAAAAUAAAUACAGAUUUUACAGAGUUCUCUUUAAUGAAAAUGAGUAAACAUUUAGGCUUCUUUUUAUGAUCUUAUUUUAUGUUUAAGAUUAAACAACCCACAAGCAAAAACACCUCUUAAAUCCAUUAAUUACUAUUAUGAGUCUAAGAAAGUGGUAAACCAAAGACCUCAGAUUGCAAGAGAGCAGGGAAAACCAGAUGUUUAGAAUUGAAGCAGCAUGCAACAAGUUAUGUAGAAAUGUUUUUAGUAACGAGGGCCAGCGGAGUCAUUUAUUUAGAAUCACCUAAAUCUAGCACAUUCAUUUUGUAGUUUUAGAAGCUGAGACAGAGGCUGGGCUACUUACUGAAAGUCACAGCUGUAGCAGCCUGAAAACAAUGCUUAUUCAUAGAAAAGUGGAAGGUAAAAAAUGAGUUUAUUCUAGAGUGAGGAAAUUGAACAGAUUUUUCUUUUGAUUAAAGGUUUACUGCAACAUAUUUUUUUCUGAAAUGUUUUAAAAUUAGAAAUAAAUAUACCCAACCAUU